rnacentral:rRNA from 1 species
UACGAAGGGGGCUAGCGUUGCUCGGAAUUACUGGGCGUAAAGGGCGCGUAGGCGGCACUGUUAGUCAGGCGUGAAAUUCCUGGGCUCAACCUGGGGACUGCGCUUGAUACGGCAGAGCUUGAGGAUGGAAGAGGGUCGCGGAAUUCCCAGUGUAGAGGUGAAAUUCGUAGAUAUUGGGAAGAACACCGGUGGCGAAGGCGGCGACCUGGUCCAUUACUGACGCUGAGGCGCGACAGCGGUGGGGAGCAACAGGAUU